rnacentral:lncRNA from 1 species
AAGCUCAUCAAAGCUGAGUGAACUGUCUGCAUACAGAACAAGCUCUAUCUGGAUAUCAGCAUCUGCAGAACCAGCUUGCUUCAGACCAGAGGACAAAUGCAGGCUGCUGAAGACAGUGUGAGGACCUGGACCUGCAGCGUUGGCUGCCAAGGAGAUGAGGAAUGUAGCUGACAGUAUUUCCUGACACACUGCUGAGGUGCCCUGCAGCUGGGAGAGGCCAGAGCAACACUGUGAGGAGACACGAGUCUGCUGUGUCUCUUCCAGCCAGGCCCUCUCUCCUGUCCCUUCCCAGGCUGCCCUUCAUGGAUGCUUGCCCAGCAGGCAGCCUGGGGAGAUGGUGUCUCUGGAGAUCAGCUUUGCUUGCUGUCCUAGCAGUGAAUGUACUGUCCCUCUUGCAACCAACUUCUUUACUGCUUAGGACAGUAAAUAAAAAGUCUGUGGUUGUGGACCUGUUUCAGCCUAGGCUAAUAAAAAUAACAUGGCCACAG